rnacentral:rRNA from 1 species
ACGGAAGGCAGCAGUGGGGAAUUUUGCGCAAUGGGGGAAACCCUGACGCAGCAACGCCGCGUGCGGGACGGAGGCCUUCGGGCUGUAAACCGCUUUCAGCAGGGAAGACAACGACGGUACCUGCAGAAGAAGCUCCGGCUAACUACGUGCCAGCAGCCGCGGUAAUACGUAGGGGGCGAGCGUUAUCCGGAUUCAUUGGGCGUAAAGCGCGCGUAGGCGGCUGCCUAAGCGGAGUUUCUAACCUUGGGGCUCAACCUCAAGCCGGACUCCGAACUGGGCGGCUCGAGUGCGGUAGGGGCAGGCGGAAUUCCACGUGUAGCGGUGAAAUGCGCAGAUAUGUGGAGGAACACCGAUGGCGAAGGCAGCCUGCUGGGCCGACACUGACGCUGAGGCGCGAAAGCCGGGGGAGCGGACAGGAUUAGAUACCCUGGUA